rnacentral:lncRNA from 1 species
AAGAUUAGGACAACAGUCUUCAGUCAGCAUGGACUUUUAUUGGCUUGUACCGUAGCUAAAGGUCAAAGGGUUUUGAAAGAAGGGAUAAUGAAGGCCCAAAUAAGUGUUUGACGGUUAAAGUGUUUUAAACAAGAAUCAUUUGCAAGGUGUCCAGUCUACUGUCUUUAGGGAUUUGAACUUCAAGCAUCCUUUAUUUUUCAUUGUUGUUUUUUCCUUUCUUUCCCUUUGCAUCAUUCUUUUCAUUGCCCCUGUUGUGGCCUUUUAUGACACUUUCUUUUUCACUUCUAUUUUCUCUUUUCUUUUAGAGAUUUCCUCCUCAAUUUUGGAUGCUUAUGAUAUACCCUUUUAAGUUGACAUCGAUAUGCUAAGGAUUCUUGUCUAGGGUGAUGAAGAACAAUUAUGGAUUUUGGCUCAAAAGGGGUGCAAUUGGAUAAACUUCUUUUAACAUUUGGAUAACGAAAAAAUGGCCACACUUCACUCUGAAUAUUGUUUGCCUGACUUUCUCUCAACUUUAAACCUGAAACAAAACUCUGCAGUGUUUGACACAUCGACUUCAUUUUUCCUUUCUUUGUUUCCUUUGUUUUUUUUUUAUAUAUUUUUUUAUAUAUCUCCCUGAUCAACGGAUUAUUGGUGAUA